GCUCCAGGUGCGGGGGCGUGAGGGCGCGGGAGGGGGCACUGGGGCGACAUCCCCGCGGUGGCGUCGCGAGCGGAGACCCGGCCCCUCGGUGUGGGAGAUGGCCCUACGAGUUUGUCUUGAGCGCCGGGCGGACACGGCCGCGGGGUGCGAAAGGGCCGUUUAUCCGGAAGAGGGGAGCCGGGCCUGGGCAGCGGCAGCACGUCAGAGCCCAGGGGCCUCUGAAUACUCGUGAGGGAGCGCCCUGCUCCCUCUACCCAGCUUGUCGAGGUGGACCGUGCACUCCCCCUGGGGCAAAUGUGUGGGCACGUCGCCCGUGACGACGAUGUCACCACUGUUUUUUCAGGUAGUGCCACAGCCCUCUUUACGUGGUGCACUGCCUCUACCUGGUCCUCCUGCAGGGGAGGCUGAGUGUAGCCCCUGUGCUAACGCGGCCCUUCUUAGUGGGCAGGUUUAGACGCUAGUUUUUGGCUUGGGCAGCUGCAUUUGUAGGCUGGAUUUCCUUUGUGAGGUGAAAAUGAUUAGGUCUUGCAGGGACGUUGUGAAUAUUCUGGGUUGAGUAGUGAGGGGUCCCAACUGCCGUGUCCUGUGCCUGCGGGUAUUUCUCCUAAUAUAAUCUUGUAUCUGUUAGUUUAGGAUUUACAUACGCUCGCUCUCUUUUUUUUUUUUUCUUGGUUCUCUUCCUUUUCACCCACUUCCCUACCAACUCCUGCUCAUCUCAGACGUCACUUCCUCUGAGAAGCCUCCCCUCUUAUCAGGACCCAUGUGGGCCUCUUUUCCACCUGCUCACGGGGUCAUUUCCCUGGUCCCAUCACACCUACUGUCACUGGUACUUCAAUCCAUCAGCAUCCUAAUGGUGGGGUCCACAUGAUCCUUAAGGUCCUAAGGAUGUGGCAGUCACUGGCCUUCCCUCCCCCUUCCCUUCAGGGAGCUGUGGCUGGGACCUCCCCUCUGGCUGAUCAAGGAGGAGGAAGCAGCGAUGUCUGCCUUAGGGACUGCAGCUCCAUACCUGCAUCAUCCUGCUGACAGUCACAGUGGCCGGGUCAGUUUUCUGGGGCCCCAAGUCCCUCCAGAGGUGGCAGCAAUGGCCCGGUUUCUGGGAGACCUGGACAGGAGCACAUUCAGAAAGUUGCUGAAGCUUGUGGUUAGCAGCUUGCAGGGAGAGGACUGCCGAGAGGCCAUGCAGCACCUGGGUGCCAGUUCCAGCCUGCCAGAGGAGCAGUUAGGUGCCCUACUUGCUGGCACACACACACUACUCCAACAGGCUCUCCGGCUUCCCUCUCCCAGCCUGAAGCCUGAUGCCUUCAAGGACCAACUCCAGGAGCUCGGCAUCCCCCAAGACCUGGUUGGGGACUUGACCAGUGUGGUUUUUGGUGGUCAGCGCCCCCUCCUGGACUCUGUGGCCCAGCAGCAGGGUUCCUGGCUUCCCCACAUUGCUGACUUUAAGUGGAGGGUGGAUGUGGCAAUUUCCACCAGUGCCCUGGCCCGCUCCCUGAAGCCAAGCAUCUUGAUGCAGCUGAAGCUUUCAGAUGGGUCAGCAUAUCGCUUCGAGGUUCCCACAGCCAAGUUCCAGGAACUGCGGUACAGUGUGGCGCUGGUCCUGAAGGAGAUGACAGAUCUGGAGAGGAGGUGCGAUCGCAGACUGCAGGACUGAGCCUCCCUUGUCAGCAUUGCAGCUGGUGCCAGAAUGCAACUUGCAUUUCCUCUAGUUGGAUGCUAGACUGCAUGUCACCCCUUCCCCAGGUUUUUUUUGUUGUUGUUGUUGUUGUUGCUUCUGAGUGUGGUAAAGUGACAGUCUGGGGUCCAAAUCAGGGUCCUCUGAAUAUGCCUUUGCUCAGCCUGACCCCACUAAGCAUCUGGGCCCUUUUUCUUGUUUGCUUUCAUAAAUGCUGUUUUUGGUGUGGGCACUUUUGUCUGUCUUAAAUCCCUGCCCUUGUGGGGCUGAUAUCGUUGUGGGUUGGGAAGCGGGGGAAACAUUACAAAAUGCAUAGUAAACAGUGGGUACAGCUUAUCAAGGGGUGACAAAUGUGUACUUAGUUUUGAGCAAGGUGGGGUAUAGGCUGUGAGGACAUGCCUGCCCCUAUACGCUGUAUCAUGGCUGGACUUCCUGGAGAACAUGGUAUCUGAGCAGACUUGAAAGACAGGAGUUGGGGGAAUGAAGUCCACUGGGGGACCAGCUGGUGCACAGGUGAUGAGUAGAGAGAGACCAGGUAUAUUGGAUGUCACGUGCCUCCAACCAAGUAGGAGGAGGUCAUUGGAGGGAGGUAAAGCUGGGGAGGGUACACAGGUCAGGUCUGAGAAAUUCUGCUCAAAGUAUUGUGGUUGAAGUCUAAGCCAAAGUGGGAGUCCCUGAGGGUUUUCAACAGAGGAAGGAUGUACUCUGGUGGUUGUUUUAGAAGGAUAACACUUCUAUUAUUUUAAAGGAUAACAUUAUCCAGGGGUGGUGGUAAAUAUGUGUAAUCCCAGGCACUUGGGAGGCUGAGGCAGGAAGAUUGCAAGUUCAAGACCAGCCUCAGCAACUUAUUGAGACCUUUUCUCAAAAUUAAAAAUAAAAAGGAUGGGGAUGUAGCUCAGUGAUAGAGUGCCCCUGGGUUCAUUAUCCAGUUCCAUGAAAAUAAAUAAGUAAAAGGAUAAUACUGUUUCUGUGUUUAGAGUAGUAUGUAGGGGAACAGGGAGGAGGUUGAGAGUCCACUAUGAGGGGUGCUGUUGUAAGGUGGAGCUGCUGGAUAGGGUAGGGGGCCUUUCUGAGUGCCUCCAGGGUAGCUAUGUUGGGGGGGGGGUGUAUGGCCAGCUUUGUAGUCCUCAGAAUAGCCAUUCUCUGGCUAGGGGUCUUAGGGCUGUCAGACUAUCUGCUUGAGGGGUCCCUGCUUCCUGCACUUUUUUAGUCUACAUCUGGUUGGUUCUCUGCUGAGAAACCAGUUCAUACAUCUCAUAGGAUAAUCAGGCCUAAGUGCAGGAACUUCUGAGAACAGCAAAUAAAGUUUGCUGUUCCGGGCCAGCCUGUUACUCACAUAGGCUGUUUGAAAAAUGCUUGGUUUCUUCCAUCUCAGUGAACACCUUUUUUUCUCUUGAGUGAGAACUACAGCUGUGGCAACUUAGGUGUGGGCCACAGGGAAAGGAAAAGGCUGCCUUUUGAGGACAGAGGGCUGCCAGGGAGGCUGCUGUGUUUCUAGAGCUGGAGGAUUCACAGGCCUGGCUCAGCUAAGGGUGCAGAAUGCCCCUGUGUCCUUCAGCCUCAGCUGGGUCCCCCAGGACCACUGGCCCACCUUGAAGGGAACAAGGAGAUCCAGACCCGCAAAAAAGGAUGUACACAAGUAAGCAGAGUGCCCAUGUCAACCUUAUCCAGUGACAGAGCUUUUUAUGUCACAUACUUAUGAUCUCAACUAUUAGAUGUGUUGGAGACUAUGUACUCAUGAUACAUUUGGAAAUAAAACAGGAAUGUAGGGACAAAAAUUUUUUACUUAAGUCCCUCCAUACAGUGGCACUGAGGCCAGAGGAUCCCAAGUUUGAAGCCAGCCUGGCAACCUAGUGAGACCCUGCAUCAAAAUAAAAAUUUAAAAAUGGCUGGGAAUGUAGUUCAGUGGUGGAGUGUGCCUGGGUUCAAUACCCAGUACUGGAAAGAAAAAAAAAGUCCCUUUGCCCACAUGUAAAGCAUCUUGACACUGCUAUGAGUCUAUCUAACUGUCCACAUGGCUCUGUGGUAAAGUUCAAUCCCCAGUACUAAAAAACAAAAACAAAAAGAACAGAGAAAGAAAGGUGCCAGGCAAAGCAGUCAGAGUGAAUUCUAGGCACACCACUUCUGGACUUCUAACAUGAGCCCAAACACGUCGGCUUCACUUGCUUUAUCUUUUCAAGCUUUUUCACGAAAACAAACUUACAGCCCUUACCUCCACUGGCCAGGGCUCUAGGCACACACUGAAAGGGCAGAGGCAGAGGACUUGGAGAAGCAGGUAAUACCAUGUUCCACCUCACAGAGGGGCUUUGAUGUACCCUGAAUAGAACUGAGUCAAGACCCUUCACUUAGUAGUCUUCGUGUCUGCUUCUUAAGGAGGGAGAAAAACUGUUAAGGAAAACUGUAUUCAGGAUGUAAUGCUUUGUAAGGUCAACUACCCAGGACCACCUCAGAAGGCAGAGGGGAGAUGGCAGCCCAGGCACAUGGGGACAUAUAGGCCAUGAAGCUGGUGGGGGAGUGGAUGGAUAAGAAAACUUGAGUUUAAGGGGACUUCUGGUGAAACUGACCUAUCAGGGUUCUUGUUAAAAUGGGACAGUGCAUAAAAGAACAUGGAAGCUGGAAAGUUGUUAUGGUGAGCAAGCUAUGCCAUUAACACAGACUGCUCAUAUUUGUAAAUUCCACAAUAUCAGAAUUUGUUGAAUAAAUUCACAGGCUACAUCAGUUUUUUCAUCACCGUUAAUUUACUGAUACUUAUGGUGUGACUGUGGUAAUCACAAAUUAUUCUGUUCCAAUUUUAAUUACUAAUAUCGUUAACACCAAAGUGGAUUUAUAAGUUACAGAACCGUUAGGGAAGGGAUAACCAUGGCCUCAGAGUUUGUUUAUUGCAGUGCUGGGGAUGGAACCAAGAGCCUUGUGCUUGCCGGGUAAGAGCUCUCUACCCAUGAGCUAUAUCUCCAAUCAACCCUUUUUUAUUUUAAGACAUGUCUAAGUUGGCUAAGCUAUUCUUAACUUGCAAUCCUCCUGCAUCAGCCUCCCGAAUCGUGCGCUUUUUUAAAAAAACAUUUUUAGUUAUUAACACAAUGCCUUUAUUUUAUCUAUUUAUUUUUAUAUGGUGCCAAGAGUCGAACCCAGGGUCUCGCACGUGCUAGGCGAGCGCUCUACCGCUGAACCACAACCCCAGCUCCAGCCCUGCCGUCUUUUUGUAAGGUUUAUUUUUUGCAGCACUGGGAAUGGGUCCCCAAAAUCCAGGCCAGCGCUGCACACUGAGCCGCAGCACACCCCCAGGUUGUGCAUAGCCAAUUUGGGGCGUCAAGGUCAUCCCUUAGCUUCACCUUAUUUUUACUUCCCAGUAACCCCGCCGUACUGCCUCCUCCAUUUUACCAAGUGCUACUUUGAACUAACCUAUUGACACUGUCGGGAGACUGCGGAGAUGAAGCACCUGUAGUGCGGAGCCGGGCGGGCUGAAGCCGCAGGUGGGGCAGGACUGCCGUUCCCCUCCAGCAGUCCGCGGACCACCGUUGGCUUGGGUCCUUGGAGUCCUAGACCAGCCCCGGAAAUGAGCGGGGCUGGGCUUCAUCCCGCUUCCGGCUCUCGGUCUCCAGGGAAGGGCUGCCUGCGCAUGCGCAGCUAGAUCGUCUCGCCCCGUCUCCGGCUGGUCGGCGCACUACGCUGCUGCUAGCUGCCGAGCUCGGUCUUCGGACCCGACGCUUCCUGUGAGCCGGCACCGAGGUGAGGCUCUUCGUGGCUCCUCCCGCAGUGCAGGUAGCCGGCGGCGGCCGGGCCGGCGGCUGUGAGGGUGUCACACGGGAAGCCACGCACUAAGCGAACGAGUUCGAUGAUUGCUGGACGCGCCGGCAGGCAGGUUCCGGCCGAGGGCUCUAGUGAUGCUGGGGACACUGGGGGAGGGGGCACAGGCGGCUCUCAGAGCCUGUCGGGCGCGCGCCCGCGACCGACCACCCGAGAGGCGGGCGGAGGCUGCGGGGAGUACGAGGCCUUGCGGGCGGGGCGUCAGUCCACGCUGGGGCUGGGCCCUCGAAGCUCGCUCGCCCGCACCGCGCCGCCCGGGGUAGCGGGAGGCCUCAGGGCGCGGCACGCCAGCCUCAGGCCCGAGAUUGGACGGCCGGAGCUGCAGCGCCCGCCGCCGGCCCUCCUGCGCACUGGCGGGAGCGGGCCUAGGGUGUGGAGAGGGUACACAGGCCCCAGGAGGCCUCUGCGAGAAUGCAGGCUGCCUCCUUCCUCUGGUCGCGUCUCCGCUGUUCUUGCCGAACACGCCCAAGUCUCCUGAGGGAGAGCUGGGUGGCCGCAGACCGUGGCGCCCCCUGCUUUCUCUCGGAUUCCAUGGCGGCCGCUUCGGGGGAUGGCAGCCGAGUCCGGCCAGGAGACUUGACGUUCCUCCCCGCCAUCCGCAGUCGGAAGCCGUCUCCGGACCUGUGAGCCUUGAGGUGGGGGAAGCCGAAGAGUUGAUAAUGUGGACCCACGUCCUCCCGCAGGGGUCGCGGCUCUGAGCUUAGCGGGUCCUGGCUCCACAGCCCCCCGGACCGCGAAUCCGCUUCCAGGAGCGCGCCAGGCACCACGCCGUGCGGUCCCCGGGCGCGAUGCCGCUGACUUUCCAGGACGUGGCAGUGUACUUCUCCCCAGCGGAGGGGCAACAGCUGGGGCCCCAGCAGCGGGCGCUGUACCGGGAUGUGAUGCUGGAGAACUAUGGGAACGUGGCCUCCCUAGGUGAGAACUCCCUCUGGCUUCUGGAGCGGGGGUGGGGCAGGGGGAGGGGGUGCCUCUCUAAGGGGCUCAUGGGCUGCUUUGGCUUUUUGGAUCCCAAGAAGAAGGUCCCGCCCUCAUCCCCGGGUAACAGUCUGAUCUCUGCUGAAAGAACACUGCCCGUGAGAGAGCCUUGCUGCCCGAUUCGAGGGACUUCGCUCCCUUUGCCAGUGGCCCAGUGGUGGUGUUCCUCCCUGCCGCCCCCAGGAGAACAGGGUGAAUUCUUCCUUAAAACAAAACAAAAAACACUUCAGCCCCUGGCUUUCUCUGACCAAGCAUGGCAGCAAGCAGGCACUUCUCACCUGGCUUGGGAGACCUGGUGGGCAGAGGCCGCACAGGCUCACCCAGGUUUUCACCCUCAACAGGAUUCCCUGUCCCUAAGCCAGAGCUGAUCUCCCAGCUGGAGCAAGGCGAGGAGCUGUGGGUCAUGGAUCUUCUGGGGGCUGAAGAAUCAGAGGUCUUGAGAAACUGCCGAACAGGUGAGAAUGGGCAGGAGGCUAACCCUAAGAACCCCCCUCCCAGUUCUACACUCACUGCAGCAGUGAGGGCGGUUGGGUUGUUGUGCUUAGUCCAACCGCUCCAAGAGCAGAUGUAGUCACCACAGACAUGUGGCAUGUGCUCCUUGUUUACAAGGGCUUCCCUUACUGCUCCAUUUGCUUUACUCUAGAAAAUGUAUGCAGUGCCCAGUGCCCGUUGUAUGCGUUUUGUGGCACCUUCAUUCUCUUCUUUACAUAAUACUCUUUCUUGCUGGCUUUCUUUUGACAGUAGCUAUGGGUUGCCUGUCAUGUCCUUUUCUUCUUCACCUUUUCUUUCCUCUAACUCAGUUUGGUCAGUAGUAUUCUCUCUCUUUCCUUCUUGAGACCUGUGUCCUCAUGUGCACAUGCUUUUGCUCUCUCGCUAUCAGUGUAUUGUGGGCUGGUCUUGAAUUUAUGGACUCAAGCUUCCUACUGCUUCGGCUCCUGAGUGAAGUCACAGUUCCUGGGUCAAUAGUAUUUUUUUAUUUUUUUGGUACAGGGGAUUGAACCCAGGGGCACGCAACCACCAAACCGCCUCUCCCCAUCCUAUUUUGUAUUUUAUUUACAGACAGGGUCUCACUGAGUUGCUUAGUGCCUCACUUUUGCUGAGGCUGGCUUUGAACUCACAAUCCUCCUGCCUCAGCCUCCUGAACCACUAGGAUUACAGGCAUGAGCCACCGUGCCCAGCAAUAAUAUUUUUUUAAAUGUGUACUUUUUUCUGUUGGAUCCAGCUUCUCUACUUUUUUCAUCAGCUACUGAGGCUUGUUAUGCUUUCUACCUUUUUCUCCUCCUUCCUCUCUAUUUUUUUUUUUGUUAUUUUAUUGCUCUACACUGUCAGAACAUGUAAUUCCUUUACCCUUUACUAUUACUCCUAGCCCCACCUUUGAUGUUGUUGUUUUUUGCUGUUAAGUAUAUAUUUUUUUUACCUUUUAGUUAAUUGUUGAACCUUUUACCAGAAAUUUCUGCAUCAUUUCUCUGUUGGCUGGAGCUUGUCUUCCAGUUACUCAGAAAGACUCUUGUAAAUAAUAUGCCCCAAAUUUAUGCACAUUGAAGCCUUUUGCUUCUGGCAGUGGGUGCUAAAAUUGUUGACUUGCGAUGCUUCUUUUUGUAGAAAGGUGGAGUUAUAAGACUGAAAGCAUGGCUGUAGUUCCAGUUUGGAAAAUUUUAAUGUUAUAUUUUUGUCAUCAUUUAGUCCAAGAUAUUAUGUUUUGUGAUUUCUUUGACCCAAUGAUUAGUUGGAUGUGUGUUACUUUUCAAAACAAUUGGUACUUUUCUAUUUCUUAUUGUUGUUGACUUGUCAUUUAAUUCUACCAGGGUCAGGGAACCUAUUCUUGUAUAAUUUCAUUCUUCUCGUUUUUGCUUGCUCUUGUUUUAUGACUCUAGGAUCUCUCUCAGUAAGUAUCUGCGUGCAUGUAAAAAGGGUGGGUUCAAUGGGCUGCAGCUGGGGCUCAGUGGAAGAGCACUUACCUAGCACAUUCGAGGUGCUGGGUUCUAUCCUCAGCACCACAUAUAAAAUUAAUUAAUUAAUUAAUUAAUUAAUUAAAGAUUUUUUUUAAAAAAAGGGAUAGGUUCAAGUAGCAAUUAAGUCAAGGUGCUUCAUGGUACCAUUUAGAUAUCCCCCAGCCCUUUGCUCAUUUUAUGUGUAGUUAUUUUAUUUAUGUAUUUAUUUAUUUAUUUUUUGGGGGGGCGGUACUGGGGAUUGAACUCAAGGAUACUCAACCAUUGAGCCACAUCCCCAGCCCUAUUUUGUAUUUUUUAGAGACAGGGUCUCACUGAGUUGCUUAGCACCUCGAUUUUGCUGAGGCUGGCCUUGAACUCUUUAAUAUUUUUUUAGUUGUAUAUGGACACAAUACCUUUAUUUUAUUUUUAUGUGGUGCUGGGAAUCAAACCCAGUGCCUCACUCAUGCUAGGCAACUGCUCUACCACUGAGCUACAAACCUGGCCCUGGCCUUGAACUCUUGAUUCUCCUGCCUUAGCCUCCUGAGCCCCUGGGAUUACAGGCGUACACCACCACACCCAACAGUGUAGUUAUUCUUUAGUUACUAAGAGAAGGUGUUAAAAUACCCACAUGUGAUUGUGGAAUUGUCUUGUCUUUAAUUUUCUCAGUGUCUGGUUCAUGUACUUUGAAGCUGUGUUAUUUGUAUUAUUUUUACUUCUAAUCAUCAUUUUUAGGGAUAAGAGGAUCCCUUAUCAUCUCUGGUAAUAUAUUUGGUUCUGACUAUAUUUCAUCUGAUAUGUCAUAGCAGUUCUAGCCUUAGCCUUAUUCUUUUUUUUUUUUUUUGGUACUGGGGGUUGGACUCAGGCACUCAACCAACCCCCAAGCCACAUCCCCAGUCCUUUUUAAAUUUUUUUUUAAACUUUGUUUUAUUUGUUUAUUUAUUUUUUUAUGUGGUACUGAGGAUUGAACCCAGGACCUUGCACGUGCCAGGCGAGCCCUGUACCACUGAGCCUUUUUAAAAAUUUUUUAUUGUCAUAGAGGGAUAACAUGCCUAUAUUUUUAUUUUUUUAGUACAGUGCCUCACCUGUGCUAGGUAGGCAGUCUACCACUAAGCUAUAGCCCCAGCCCCUUAUCUUUUAAUUGUAGUGCUUAAUCUAUUAAUAUUUAAUGUCUCGUUGUGUGUGUGUGUGUGUGUGUGUGUGUGAGAGAGAGAGAGAGAGAGAUAAUGGGGAUGGAACCCAGGGCCUUAUGUGUGACAAGCAAGCACUCUACCACUGAACCACAUCUCCAGCCCUUUUUUUUUUUUUUUUUAAUUUGAAACAGGGUCCUUUUUUAUUUCUCUUUUUUGCCUUUCAUGUACUAAUUCAUUAUAAAUCUCAACCAUCCCUUCCCUCCUUUAUGGUAAAGUUAUAUGUAAUAUAUCUGUGUACAUUUGAGACAAUAUUAUAAUUUUCUUUUUAAAUCGUCAUAGAUGAUUAACAGCAGAGUUAUGUCCUGAUGAACCCAUCAUAAGUUGGAAAUCACUUAGUGCAUCUAACCUACCAAACAUGCCAGCUUAGCAGCACAGCACACUGGAGAGUACAGUUGUUGCCCUGUGAUCUUGUGGCUGCCUGGGAGUUGUGACUUCUGCCACUGCCCAGCAUUGCAAGAGAGAUCAUAGUGCCCAAGAAAAGAUUAAAAAUUCAAAAUAAUAUAGUUUCUAUUGAAUAUAUAUCACUUUGUGCUGUCAUAAGAUUGAAAAAGUCUUAUGCAAAACCCUGGGAAGUUAGUGCUGUACUUUGAAUCUGCAUUAUCCCUCAAAGGUCAACGUGUAAAAGGCUAAACUGAGGAGCCAUUGGGAAGUUGGGCUUGGGGGAAGAAGCAAGGUCAGUGGGAGAAUGCCACUGGAGAGUCUCUGGGACCCACGCCAUCCUAUCUGUUUUGUGCCUGGCCGCCAUGGAGUAAACAGGCUGCCAUGCUAGGCUCCUGCCACAAUGCGUACUGCUGCCACAGGCCCAGAGCACAAGCCAAGUGACUAUGGGCUAAGACUUCUGAAACUGUGGCCAGAAUAAGUGUCUCCUCCAUUUACCUAUCUAAGGUAUUUCAUCACAGUAAUGAAAACCUAACAGUUGAGGAACCAUUUAUAUGUAGUUUAUGAAAAAAUAAAAGAAAAAAAAUAGACUUUUUGCUGUCUCGACAUGUAAGGAGCUUAGAAGUUGCUGCGGGAUUCUAACAAGUAAAGAACUGAACAAACUGGAAAAUCAGUGACUCUUGGAUCAAUCAGAGUUGAGGUCCCAGGGCAAACCACUGCACCCAAAUUGGAUAGGCAACACAGUCAUGAUUUGUGAACAGGAACCUCCAGGGGAAAUGGUGCAGGUAGGAAACCUGAAGAGAAAUGGACAAAUUGACAAAAGCUCAGUGUGGACAAGUCUGAGCUAUAAAAAUGACAGGAGACCUGUCAUGGAGGCUCAUAAACAUUUGAGGGUUUUUUGUUUUUUGUUUUACCGCCAGAAAUGUGAUGAAUCCCACAGUGAACAUUGGGGGAAAUCUCCUUAUGCUUCUGGCAGGGGAAAGGGAAAAGAAACUUCUGAAAUAUGUCAGAGCACUAUUCCUCACGAAGCUGUUCUCUAGAUAGAUGGCCUUGCCAGAGCCUGCCUGACCUGAGCAAGGAAGCUCCCAGCCCAGCACUCUGUUCUCCCUGACCUUGUGAGGGCCCUGGAGCACAGGCUUAUGGUGCUGCAUGCCUCAUUGCACAGCCAACAUGGCAGCACUGAGGCAUGGGUGCCGCAGCUCCCUUACCCAGCUUGUCACAUCUGCCUUUUAACAAAGACCUGUAAGACACUGAAAGAAAAAUGCAGUGUGGAGAGACUGAACAAACAUUAGAAUGAGAGUCAUAACUGGCAAGAGUGUUGGAAUUACCAGAUCAGGGAUUUUUUUUAAAACUAAUAUGACUAAGGCUUUAGUGGAAAAUGUAUGAUGUACAGAAACAGAUAUAUAAUAUAGGCAGAGAGAUUGAAAUUCUAAAAUAGAAUAAAAAAUGCUAGAAAUGAAAAACACUAUAAUAGUAGUAAUGACAGAUGCCUUUGAUGACUCACUAAUAGACUGGUCAGGGUUUUGAGUAUAAUGUUAUUUGAAGGCACACUUGGAUUAGUUGUAAGUGUAGAUAGAAAACCAAUUAAAAACAAAAGUACAAGACAAGUAUAAUGAAUAUGGCGACAAGGAGACAAAGUGGAGUAAUAGAAAAUACUCAAAACCACAAAAUAAGUAGCCCAGUGAUAGAGCAUUUGUAUAACAUGUGUAAGACCUUAGGUUUGAUCCCCAGCAGUGAAGAAACCAUUUUUAAACCAGAAAAUGCAGAAAAAAGUAUAGAAGAUAAACAGGGACAAAG
rnacentral:lncRNA from 1 species